UACGGAGGGUGCAAGCGUUAUCCGGAUUUACUGGGUUUAAAGGGUGCGUAGGUGGGUCUGUAAGUCAGUGGUGAAAUCUCCGGGCUUAACUCGGAAACUGCCAUUGAUACUGUAGGUCUUGAAUUAUCUGGAGGUGAGCGGAAUAUGUCAUGUAGCGGUGAAAUGCUUAGAUAUGACAUAGAACACCAAUUGCGAAGGCAGCUCACUACGGAUAUAUUGACACUGAGGCACGAAAGCGUGGGGAUCAAACAG
rnacentral:rRNA from 1 species